CUUAUCUAGCACCUGUCUACAGGCCCAGUGACACACACGCAGCCAUCUUACCUAGCACCUGUCUACAGGCCCAUGACACACACGCAGCCAUCUUACCUAGCACCUGUCUACAGGCCCAGUGACACACACGCAGCCAUCUUACCUAGCACCUGUUUACAGGGUCCCACGACACUCACAAACAGUCAUCAUAUCUAGCAUACAUGGUACUGAGCCACAUGUUAUAGUAAAGGCAGUUGUACUGACCAUGUCAGGCCGUCGUAAAAAUAUAUGGCUGUGUCAACAUGAUUAGAAAGUAUCAUCAUAGAAUAAUAUGUUUUACAUUAUUAUACUAAUUAAACCUUUCUCCAGG